rnacentral:rRNA from 1 species
UGGCGGCGUGCCUAAUACAUGCAAGUUGAGCGCUGAAGGUUGGUACUUGUACCAACUGGAUGAGCAGCGAACGGGUGAGUAACGCGUGGGGAAUCUGCCUUUGAGCGGGGGACAACAUUUGGAAACGAAUGCUAAUACCGCAUAAAAACUUUAAACACAAGUUUUAAGUUUGAAAGAUGCAAUUGCAUCACUCAAAGAUGAUCCCGCGUUGUAUUAGCUAGUUGGUGAGGUAAAGGCUCACCAAGGCGAUGAUACAUAGCCGACCUGAGAGGGUGAUCGGCCACAUUGGGACUGAGACACGGCCCAAACUCCUACGGGAGGCAGCAGUAGGGAAUCUUCGGCAAUGGACGAAAGUCUGACCGAGCAACGCCGCGUGAGUGAAGAAGGUUUUCGGAUCGUAAAACUCUGUUGGUAGAGAAGAACGUUGGUGAGAGUGGAAAGCUCAUCAAGUGACGGUAACUACCCAGAAA